UUAAGCGACUAAGCGUACACGGUGGAUGCCCUGGCAGUCAGAGGCGAUGAAGGACGUGCUAAUCUGCGAAAAGCGUCGGUAAGGUGAUAUGAACCGUUAUAGCCGGCGAUGUCCGAAUGGGGAAACCCAGUGCAAUUCGUUGCACUAUCGUUAACUGAAUACAUAGGUUAACGAGGCGAACCGGGGGAACUGAAACAUCUAAGUACCCCGAGGAAAAGAAAUCAACCGAGAUUCCCCCAGUAGCGGCGAGCGAACGGGGAGCAGCCCAGAGUCUGAAUCAGCUUGUGUGUUAGUGGAACGGUCUGGAAAGUCCGACGGUACAGGGUGAUAGUCCCGUACACCAAAAUGCACAGGUUGUGAACUCGAAGAGUAGGGCGGGACACGUGGUAUCCUGUCUGAAUAUGGGGGGACCAUCCUCCAAGGCUAAAUACUCCUGACUGACCGAUAGUGAACCAGUACCGUGAGGGAAAGGCGAAAAGAACCCCGGCGAGGGGAGUGAAAAAGAACCUGAAACCGUGUACGUACAAGCAGUGGGAGCACCUUCGGGUGUGACUGCGUACCUUUUGUAUAAUGGGUCAGCGACUUAUAUUCUGUAGCAAGGUUAACCGUAUAGGGGAGCCGCAGGGAAACCGAGUCUUAACUGGGCGUUAAGUUGCAGGGUAUAGACCCGAAACCCGGUGAUCUAGCCAUGGGCAGGUUGAAGGUUGGGUAACACUAACUGGAGGACCGAACCGACUAAUGUUGAAAAAUUAGCGGAUGACUUGUGGCUGGGGGUGAAAGGCCAAUCAAACCGGGAGAUAGCUGGUUCUCCCCGAAAGCUAUUUAGGUAGCGCCUCGUGAACUCAUCUUCGGGGGUAGAGCACUGUUUCGGCUAGGGGGUCAUCCCGACUUACCAACCCGAUGCAAACUACGAAUACCGAAGAAUGUUAUCACGGGAGACACACGGCGGGUGCUAACGUCCGUCGUGAAGAGGGAAACAACCCAGACCGCCAGCUAAGGUCCCAAAGUCAUGGUUAAGUGGGAAACGAUGUGGGAAGGCACAGACAGCCAGGAUGUUGGCUUAGAAGCAGCCAUCAUUUAAAGAAAGCGUAAUAGCUCACUGGUCGAGUCGGCCUGCGCGGAAGAUGUAACGGGGCUAAACCAUGCACCGAAGCUGCGGCAGCGACACUAUGUGUUGUUGGGUAGGGGAGCGUUCUGUAAGCCUGCGAAGGUGACCUGUGAGGGUUGCUGGAGGUAUCAGAAGUGCGAAUGCUGACAUAAGUAACGAUAAAGCGGGUGAAAAGCCCGCUCGCCGGAAGACCAAGGGUUCCUGUCCAACGUUAAUCGGGGCAGGGUGAGUCGACCCCUAAGGCGAGGCCGAAAGGCGUAGUCGAUGGGAAACAGGUUAAUAUUCCUGUACUUGGUGUUACUGCGAAGGGGGGACGGAGAAGGCUAUGUUAGCCGGGCGACGGUUGUCCCGGUUUAAGCAUGUAGGCUGGUUGUCCAGGCAAAUCCGGAUAAUCAAGGCUGAGGUGUGAUGACGAGGCACUACGGUGCUGAAGUAACAAAUGCCCUGCUUCCAGGAAAAGCCUCUAAGCAUCAGGUAACAUCAAAUCGUACCCCAAACCGACACAGGUGGUCAGGUAGAGAAUACCAAGGCGCUUGAGAGAACUCGGGUGAAGGAACUAGGCAAAAUGGUGCCGUAACUUCGGGAGAAGGCACGCUGGUGUGUAGGUGAAGUCCCUGCGGAUGGAGCUGAGACCAGUCGAAGAUACCAGCUGGCUGCAACUGUUUAUUAAAAACACAGCACUGUGCAAACACGAAAGUGGACGUAUACGGUGUGACGCCUGCCCGGUGCCGGAAGGUUAAUUGAUGGGGUUAUCCGUAAGGAGAAGCUCUUGAUCGAAGCCCCGGUAAACGGCGGCCGUAACUAUAACGGUCCUAAGGUAGCGAAAUUCCUUGUCGGGUAAGUUCCGACCUGCACGAAUGGCGUAAUGAUGGCCAGGCUGUCUCCACCCGAGACUCAGUGAAAUUGAACUCGCUGUGAAGAUGCAGUGUACCCGCGGCAAGACGGAAAGACCCCGUGAACCUUUACUAUAGCUUGACACUGAACAUUGAGCCUUGAUGUGUAGGAUAGGUGGGAGGCUUUGAAGCGUGGACGCCAGUCUGCGUGGAGCCAACCUUGAAAUACCACCCUUUAAUGUUUGAUGUUCUAACGUUGGCCCCUGACCGGGGUUGCGGACAGUGUCUGGUGGGUAGUUUGACUGGGGCGGUCUCCUCCCAAAGCGUAACGGAGGAGCACGAAGGUUAGCUAAUCCUGGUCGGACAUCAGGAGGUUAGUGCAAUGGCAUAAGCUAGCUUGACUGCGAGCGUGACGGCGCGAGCAGGUGCGAAAGCAGGUCAUAGUGAUCCGGUGGUUCUGAAUGGAAGGGCCAUCGCUCAACGGAUAAAAGGUACUCCGGGGAUAACAGGCUGAUACCGCCCAAGAGUUCAUAUCGACGGCGGUGUUUGGCACCUCGAUGUCGGCUCAUCACAUCCUGGGGCUGAAGUAGGUCCCAAGGGUAUGGCUGUUCGCCAUUUAAAGUGGUACGCGAGCUGGGUUUAGAACGUCGUGAGACAGUUCGGUCCCUAUCUGCCGUGGGCGCUGGAGAAUUGAGGGGGGCUGCUCCUAGUACGAGAGGACCGGAGUGGACGCAUCACUGGUGUUCGGGUUGUCAUGCCAAUGGCACUGCCCGGUAGCUAAAUGCGGAAGAGAUAAGUGCUGAAAGCAUCUAAGCACGAAACUUGCCCCGAGAUGAGUUCUCCCUGAGACUUUAAGUCUCCUGAAGGAACGUUGAAGACGACGACGUUGAUAGGCCGGGUGUGUAAGCGCAGCGAUGCGUUGAGCUAACCGGUACUAAUGAACCGUGAGGCUUAACCUU
rnacentral:rRNA from 1 species